rnacentral:misc_RNA from 1 species
CCACCAUCACCACCACCACCACCAUUACCAGGACGUAGAGUUCCAGCUCCACCACUGCCUCCACCACCACCUCCACUGCCUCCACCGCCACCUCCACUGCCAGGUGGGUCUCCACCUUCACCACCACCACUUGCAUAUGGAGCUCCACCACCUCCUCCUUCACGUGGAGCUCCACCACCACCACCUCCUCCUCCUCCUUCACAUGGAGCUCUACCACCAUCUCCUUCGUGUGGAGCUCCACCACCACCACCACCUCCACCUCCUCCUACAAGGGGAGCUCUACCACCACCUCCAUCUCUUCCAAUAAGUGCCAUUCCUCCUCCACCACCUCCCCCCUUUUGUGGAGCCCCACCUCCUCCUCUAGGGCGUAGGGCCCCACCUCCACCACCUCCUCCUCCUUCAAGUAGAGCU